rnacentral:rRNA from 1 species
GACGAACGCUGGCGGCGUGCUUAACACAUGCAAGUCGAACGGAAAGGCCCUGCUUUUGUGGGGUGCUCGAGUGGCGAACGGGUGAGUAACACGUGAGUAACCUGCCCUUGACUUUGGGAUAACUUCAGGAAACUGGGGCUAAUACCGGAUAGGAGCUCCUGCUGCAUGGUGGGGGUUGGAAAGUUUCGGCGGUUGGGGAUGGACUCGCGGCUUGUCAGCUUGUUGGUGGGGUAGUGGCUUACCAAGGCUUUGACGGGUAGCCGGCCUGAGAGGGUGACCGGCCACAUUGGGACUGAGAUACGGCCCAGACUCCUACGGGAGGCAGCAGUGGGGAAUAUUGCACAAUGGGCGGAAGCCUGAUGCAGCAACGCCGCGUGCGGGAUGACGGCCUUCGGUUUGUAAACCGCUUUCGCCUGUGACGAAGCGUGAGUGACGGUAAUGGGUAAAGAAGCACCGGCUAACUACGUG